rnacentral:lncRNA from 1 species
CCUUUUGCUCCAGCCCCGUUCCAGGCCUUUUGCUUCACACAUCCAGGGGGAGCCAGAAGAAAGCCCCCAGCCUGGCUGGGAGGGGGCUGGGGGUGGGCCCAACCUGUUCUGGAGGGGAACUAGCACAAUGGUGCGGCUGGCCGGGCGUUUAUGGCCUGGCUGAGGCCCCAUUCAGGACUCAGGGAAGGUGGCAAAGCGGUCCUUUCCCCCUUGAAGUGCCCCCUCACCCCCCUGGGAGGGGGGGCCAGCAGGCCGGACCACAGCCAUGCUUGAGGGGCUGUCUG